rnacentral:rRNA from 1 species
UACGUAGGGUGCGAGCGUUGUCCGGAAUCAUUGGGCGUAAAGGGCGCGUAGGUGGCCCGGUCAGUCUUUGGUGAAAGCGCGGGGCUCAACCCUGCGUCGGCCAGGGAUACUGCCGCGGCUCGAGCACUGUAGAGGCAGGCGGAAUUCCUGGUGUAGCGGUGAAAUGCGUAGAUAUCGGGAGGAACACCAGUGGCGAAGGCGACUACCUGGCCUGUUCUUGACGCUGAGGCGCGAAAGCUAGGGGAGCAAACGGGG